rnacentral:rRNA from 1 species
UACGUAGGGUGCGAGCGUUAAUCGGAAUUACUGGGCGUAAAGUGUGCGCAGGCGGCGUCGCAAGUCGAGUGUGAAAGCCCCGAGCUUAACUUGGGAAUUGCAUUUGUGACUGCACGGCUAGAGUGUGUCAGAGGGGGGUAGAAUUCCACGUGUAGCAGUGAAAUGCGUAGAUAUGUGGAGGAAUACCGAUGGCGAAGGCAGCCCCCUGGGAUAACACUGACGCUCAUGCACGAAAGCGUGGGGAGCAAACAGG